GUCACGGACGACGGCGCGGGGAUAUUCACUCGGGCAGGAGGCCGUAUAAAGCAGGAGGGAGAGGAAGGGGAAGGACGACGCCACAAAAAGUUCUUCGUCGACGGAGCGGGAGAUCUCGAUUCCUGAUCUCGGCGUGGAGAUGAAGAAGGCUGGGGUCUUCGCCGCCUCCCUCGCGGCCGUCUCUUCCGCUGCUCUCUCCACCACCAACCCCUCCUCCUCCACCUCCACCUCCUCCUCCUCUAAAGAGGGAUUGGGAUCGUCGAGGAAGCAGGACGCUGCCGGAUCAGGAUCAAGGAGGGACGCGGAAGACAAGUUCGCGCCGAGAUUCGACGGGCUCAGGUUCAUCGAGACGCUGGUAACGGCGCAUCGGUGAUUCUCGAGUCUCUUGCCGAUGCUUCACCCUCUUAUCACCGAUCGAUUUCUGCCACGGCGGUGGUUCUCUUCCUGAUAUAAUUAUGAUUUAGUAUUGGUAGUCUGCAAGCUGUUACGCACGAGCCGUGUGUGAUUUUAACUUCUUGUAUAUUAAUUAAUUAAUUAAUUAUUCUUGUAUUUCGAUUAAUAUCUUGCAUUUUUUUAGUGGCAUUACCUUAUUAGUCUUACCUUAAGAUUUCACACUACGAAAUAAAGCGGAGACACACUAAACCCAAUUCUGUUGUGUUGUACUGAAACUCGACACGGGAAGAAAUUUCAAUCUGAACUAUUAUUAUUUUCCCA